UUAUGUAGAGAAUUUUACUUAACAGGUCUGGAUGGCAUCUUUUGUCAAAACAAAAUCACGUUUGUUUUUAUAUAUUUUCUGCCUGACGCGUAAAGUGUUCCAUUAUUGUUUUCUUUUGGGGAAAUAAUUAUGCUUUAGGAUGAACUGGUUUAGUUCCUUUUUAUGUUGCUAAAACCCUAUAGCUUGCUUUUAUGUAGAAGUCCCUGGAUGAACUUACUACAAUCUUUAUUGUCAGGACACAUUGGUACUGAGCUUUCUUGCAAAGGUGCUAUGUUCUAACUGUGGUGUAUAUAGUUGUAUAGUUUAUAGUGAAAGUUGCGUUCUUGUCAGGCCACAGUAGUUGUAUAGUUUAGAUUAUACCUUGAGUUAGUUUUGUGCUUGUGGAAGUGCAGCGGCGAUUGCAAGACAGCUUGGUUCAGCUUCAUUAAUAUAGCACCAUCUUCACAAUACUGUACAUCAUAUUCUUAGACGGCUGGGUUCAACCUUGAGACCUUUGAAGUAAAAUACACUUAGUAGUUUUAAAUUUCAAGUGGCAUGGCUUACAAUAUGUAAGUGGGUUUUCCACACUUGUAACAUGAGAGAAUCUGCAUAGAUCUCAAGGUUGUCAUUCGUGGCUGAGACAAUGUUUCUAAAUCAAGGGACCCGCACUUCGUCAUUAUCUAAAUUGCGCUUGAUUAUUUUCCUAAAGGGACCUGCACUUCGUCAUUACCUAAGGGCAUCAGUUAGAAGAGAAGUUCGAGCUGACGGGAGUGGUGCCAACAGUUUCCACAAUAAUCGUCUGACAAAUAAAUAUAUAUCUUCUCAUUUUUCAGAUUUUGUUGUUCAAUUCAGUUAAAUCUAUUAGCUUACUGGUUGUGGUAUAACUAUUUCUAGAAUUUACAAUGUGGUUUCCGUGCCUAUUGAUUUAACUUGAUGAGAGAAAUGACUUCUUGGGUUCACUGUUCACUCUACAUUCUGAGUGGUUGUAACUUUUUUGCUUCUGAAGUGUCAAAGGAUACAAAAAUCAGGAUGAUAUAUUAGGCUGAGACAAUGUUU
rnacentral:lncRNA from 1 species